GACGAUGUCUCUUCCCAGAUGACUCGAUUAGAGGAUCGUAUGACUCGUUUGGAGGACAUCAUCACGCGUUCAUAUCCAGCCUCCGUCGCUCAGGUUGUAAAACCACUUUUAAUUUAUUACUUACAUAAAAUGUCUACAGUGUUAUUAUUCUGACAACUAUUAUUACAUUCGCACAGGAGAGAGACGAGGAUAUCCCACCGACAUCCCCUGUUGAUACCGCAAUACCAUCCCGUCACCCACACGAGGGUAGUGGCCCGGAGGACGCACCGGUUAGUCCUUCUGUUGCAUCGAUCGAGGGUUCUCCCCGAACACCUUCCCCGGAAGUUCAGGACGAGCGAUUAUGGUUACUUGCUGAUAUCCCGAG